UACGAACUGUGCAAACGUUAUUCGGAAUCACUGGGCUUAAAGGGUGCGUAGGCUGCUAUGAAGGUCAGGUGUGAAAUCCCACGGCUCAACCGUGGAACUGCGCUUGAAACCGCAUAGCUUGAGGGAGUCAGAGGUAAGCGGAACUGAUGGUGGAGCGGUGAAAUGCGUUGAUAUUAUCAGGAACACCGGUGGCGAAGGCGGCUUACUGGGACUUUUCUGACGCUGAGGCACGAAAGCCAGGGGAGCAAACGGG
rnacentral:rRNA from 1 species